CCCCGAGCGGCGGCGCCCCGGACGCGCCUGGGAGGAGCUGCCACGCCACUGCCCCGAUUGGGCUCCGCGCUCAAGCCGGGCUACGGGGAACUUUUGCUGCAUCACCCGGUGGCGCCAGGAGCACUUCCCUGUCGACAGCCGGAGCCCCUAGCAGAAGCUCCGUUUGAAGAGCCUCAAGUAGAAAGAACGGAAACUAAAAAGUACCAGGCAUCAAUUUUAUCUGGCAAUCAUCAGAAUACAUCAGACCGCAAAACUAUACAUUCCUGGACCUCACAAGACGCAUGGCAAGGAAUUUCAGCAAGCCAACCAAAGUGCUCUGCUACAGCCACAUCUGCAGUCUACAACCUGAGCAACAACGCUGACAUUAAAACCACUGUGGCCAAGAACAUACAACCGCCAAAAAAAAAAAAGGGGGGUGGGGGGGGAAGUGUGGAAAUUCCAAAUCCACCUUCUCAAUUUCUGGUUUAAGAUUACAUAGCAUUAUUUAACCCACCAUCACUAAACUCACUUUCAUGUGAACAACCAGGAAGCCCAAGUAAAUGGAAUUUUUAUUUGCACAUUCUGUAUUAUUUUAUGAGAAGACAAAUGACAGAAAAUGUGGGAAUUUAGGUAAAAGAACAAUUUCCCAGAAUGUCAAGGUUGAUAACUUCUGUAACUAGAGUAUGGUAUAUUGACAAUAAAUGUACAUAGUGACCUCAAAA